rnacentral:rRNA from 1 species
AGAGUUUGAUCCUGGCUCAGGAUGAACGCUAGCGACAGGCUUAACACAUGCAAGUCGAGGGGCAGCAUAAAAGUAGCAAUACUUUGGUGGCGACCGGCGCACGGGUGAGUAACGCGUAUGCAACCUACCUAUCAGAGGGGAAUAACCCGGCGAAAGUCGGACUAAUACCGCAUAAAACAGGGGCACCGCAUGGUGAUAUUUGUUAAAGAAAUUCGCUGAUAGAUGGGCAUGCGUUCCAUUAGGUAGUUGGUGAGGUAACGGCUCACCAAGCCGACGAUGGAUAGGGGAACUGAGAGGUUGGUCCCCCACACUGGUACUGAGACACGGACCAGACUCCUACGGGAGGCAGCAGUGAGGAAUAUUGGUCAAUGGGCGGGAGCCUGAACCAGCCAAGUCGCGUGAAGGAAAGAAGGAUCUAUGGUUCGUAAACUUCUUUUGCAGGGGAAUAAAGUGCAGGACGUGUCCUGUUUUGUAUGUACCCUGAGAAUAAGGAUCGGCUAACUCCGUGCCAGCAGCAGC